CAAAUUCUUCAAUCCUUGACCCCCUUCUUUGAUCAGUUUACAGAGUGUCUCCCAGUUCACAAGAUGAAUACCCUUCUUCUCAUUAGAAUUCCCCCAGAUAAAAUCUCUGUAAUGGAACUCCCAGAUAAUUCCCAAGGUUAACCUUUUGACCCGAGCUGCUAUAGAAUUUAUGGAGAGUUUUUUUUUGAAUAAUAUCGAUUUGAGUCUUGUCAGCUUCAGCAAAGAGCAUAAGAUCAUCUGCAAAAAAGAGAUGACAAAGAGGUAAGGCGAUAGGGGGUCUCCCUGUCUGAUCCCCCUAGUCGGUUUAAAAGGCUCGGUACCACAGUUAAAGCAAAUCUGUUGUAGCCCCUCAUAUUCAAUUUUUUGUAUGAAAUCAUUUAUUCCCACACAAGGAAUAAGAGGUUUAUUCAGGGAAAACCAGGUAAACGCAGCCAGGCAAUGACUUGUGAGGGAUGUUUCUCAGAUGUAUUAAAGUUCCUCGACCAUGGUUGUACUGUCAAAUAACUCCUAUAUAUCAUCCAUGGACCAUCGGACAAAACGUUGAUAAAAAGGGCAUCUUUAAUGGACUAGGAUGAAACAAAAAAUCAACAAAUUUGCAGAAGAAAGAAAGAAAGGGGUUGAAAGGAAACCUGCUGUUAGCAUAUUCAUAGAGACGGCCGCGGCUGGAGAAGACUACGAGAGCAACCUCAGCAUCACAUAGCACAGAUAAUUCAUAGGCCUUCUUCAGCAGUCCAUUGCGUCGCUUAC